GCGCCAGUAGCUCAGUUGGAUAGAGCGGCAGCCUUCUAAGCUGUAGGUCGGGGGUUCGAUUCCCUCCUGGCGCA
rnacentral:tRNA from 1 species